rnacentral:lncRNA from 1 species
CGCCAAACUAUGUCGUUUGGAGUUCAUAUAGUUCAAGCAAAUCUUAGCCUUCCAUAUUGCUUCAUCCAACGGCUGUCAAAGCCUCCCCUUUUCAUUUAACAUUGUUCAAAGACCAACCAAAUAACCUAGUACCCAUUCCUUCGUUUCAUCUCCUUCAACUUCAGAGACUAAACCCUAGCGUCGUCCUAACAUUCUCCGGUAGUGGCGCCACCUUUAAUCAGCCCCAAUUUUAUACAACAAAAUCCCAUAACUUCCCCUCUCCCAAUCCCUAACCAUUUUUCCUUGAAUCAAUCUAGACAUCUCAAAUCAUCAAUUGAAAUAAUCUGACUCCAAACCCUAAAACUCCAAAUCUCCCAAAUCGUCAGUUUUCAGUGAAGGAUUGGAUUUAAUGUUGAUUUUAUUCGUGUGUUCUCAAUGAGAACACAUGAUUAAUGUCAAUAUCGGCUAAAAAUAGAAGGUUUUGAAGCUAGGUCAAGCCCGUUGUUUGUCUGCCUUUGUUAGAUAUUUCAGUAUUUUCUUUCUUUUUUUCAUUUUUUUUCUCGUGUUCUUUUGUUUCUUUCCUUUUCUUUCUUGUUUUUCCAUUUCUUAUAUCAUUUAUGCAUGCCUGUUAAUUUUUAGGUUUAUUUUAGUCAGCAUUUUUUUUACUUUUCGCUCAAGUUUCCCUCAUAUUUUUGUUUAAUUUGGAAUCUUUGGUUCCAGAAGUUCGUAUAACUCCAAUUGCCCUUUUCUUGAAUUUUUUUGCUGGGGUCUUAACCGAACUUAGGCUGUGUUAACAGAGGCCUAAAAGGAGCGCUUGGUCCGGUUUUUGCAAGACCACGUCUGGUUGGUUGAUUGGGUCACUUUGUCCCAGAUUGGUCUUGAGAAUAAAUAACAUAAGCUUAAAGGGUAAUUCAGAUUUUUUAGUUUAGGAAAUCUUGUGUAAUUAAUUUAGAAAGGUGCUUGGAAGGUGGGGUCAGGGUUUAUUUAAAAAAUAGAUUUAAAUCAAGGACUACCUAGUAAAAACAAAAAUUUGAAAAGGAGUAAUGGUCAAAAUCUGAAAUCAUUUUUGCUACCCUAAGAAGCCUCUAUAAAAGGCAUGUUACUUCAUUCUCAAGUCAGAUUUAGAGAGUUAAAAAUACUAAAAAACUCGGAAAAUAGCUGAAUCUCUUUCAAACUCAAGAAUACUAAAAAUUGCUUGAAUUGGUUUGGUUUUUGGCUUUUUAAUUCCCUUGGGUAGUCUGAAUUUCUGAAAGUCCAAAAGAAUUGUGCAUCUGGGUUUCAAGUAUUUUGAAUUGGGUUGAGAGAUUUGUUGUUGAUCUGUUGGUUCUGCACUGUUUUAUUGUUGCUUAUCUUCUCUUUUUCUUUUCCUCAAUUUCUACUCUCAAGUACCUUUUGCUGGAUUUCUGCUCAUAUGUUGAAGUUUAGAAUUGAAGUAUGUAACUCAGUUGGACAAUUUGAGAAUCAACAUCAAUUUCACUGAAUAUUAGUCUAUGUUUCUUCCGAAUUUUCCAUGUUUAUGUUUCUCUAGAUUUCUCCAGUUUCAUUUGUAUUUAUUCAUGCCAUAGACAUCAUAAUUUGUGUUGAGAUUGUAUUUGGACUUUUGUUCUUGGUUUUGGUUCCAGUUUGUUUAUAAUUGUUUUCUGCCGAGUAUUGGUUGUUUGCUAUUGUUAUGUUAUGGAAUUCAUCUAGGAUAAAUAACACUACUGUGGGUUUUCAACUUAGUCAAUUUAAUUUAAGUAAGGUUGGGUUUAGCUAAUCUUUAUUAAUGAGUUUGGUUGUUUAGAAUUUCUUUAAGUUGAAUCAAUUCAAUAGUUAUUGGGGUAACAUUUGAUGUUUAGAAUACCUAUUGUAAAAAUAACUAUGUUUGAGAAUCAUAACAGUAAUUCUAGUGUUCAAAAGAAUGGUG